GUGGCAGCCGCCGCGGUAAUACGGAGGGUGCAAGCGUUAUCCGGAUUCAUUGGGUUUAAAGGGUGCGCAGGCGGAUACUUAAGUCAGUGGUGAAAUCCCGGGCUCAACCCCGGAACUGCCAUUGAUACUGAAUAUCUGGAAUACGGUUGAAGUGGGCGGAAUGUAGCAUGUAGCGGUGAAAUGCAUAGAGAUGCUACAGAACACCGAUCGCGAAGGCAGCUCACUAAGCCGAUAUUGACGCUCAGGCACGAAAGCGUGGGGAGCGAACAGGAUUAGAUACCCUGGUAGUCCACGCCGUAAACGAUGAUAACUCGUUGUUGGCGACACACAGUCAGCGACUAAGCGAAAGCGAUAAGUUAUCCACCUGGGGAGUACGAUCGCAAGGUUGAAACUCAAAUGAAUUGGCGG
rnacentral:rRNA from 1 species